GGCGGCAUGCUUAACACAUGCAAGUCGAACGGUAGCAGGCCCUUCGGGGUGCUGACGAGUGGCGGACGGGUGAGUAAUACGUAGGAAUCUGCCUUGUUGAGAGGGAUAGCCUAGGGAAACUUAGGGUAAUACCUCAUAAGCCUGAAGAGGGAAAGCAGGGGACUGUAAAAGGCCUUGCGCGAUAAGAUGAGCCUACGUCGGAUUAGCUAGUUGGUGGGGUAAAUGCCUACCAAGGCGACGAUCCGUAGCUGGUCUGAGAGGACGACCAGCCACACUGGGACUGAGACACGGCCCAGACUCCUACGGGAGGCAGCAGUGGGGAAUAUUGGACAAUGGGCGGAAGCCUGAUCCAGCAAUGCCGCGUGUGUGAAGAAGGCCUGAGGGUUGUAAAGCACUUUCAGUGGGGAGAAAGAGGCCAUUGUUAAUACCAAUGGCGGAUGAUGUUACCCACAGAAGAA
rnacentral:rRNA from 1 species